rnacentral:rRNA from 1 species
CCUAACACAUGCAAGUCGAACGGAGCUUAGAGAGCUUGCUUUUUAAGCUUAGUGGCGAACGGGUGAGUAACGCGUGAGUAACCUGCCCUAGAGUGGGGGACAACAGUUGGAAACGACUGCUAAUACCGCAUAAGCCCACGGUACCGCAUGGUACUGAGGGAAAAGGAUUUAUUCGCUUUAGGAUGGACUCGCGUCCAAUUAGCUAGUUGGUGAGGUAACGGCCCACCAAGGCGACGAUUGGUAGCCGGACUGAGAGGUUGAACGGCCACAUUGGGACUGAGACACGGCCCAGACUCCUACGGGAGGCAGCAGUGGGGGAUAUUGCACAAUGGGGGAAACCCUGAUGCAGCGACGCCGCGUGGAGGAAGAAGGUUUUCGGAUUGUAAACUCCUGUCGUUAGGGACGAUAAUGACGGUACCUAACAAGAAAGCACCGGCUAACUACGUGCCAGCAGCCGCGGUAAAACGUAGGGUGCAAGCGUUGUCCGGAAUUACUGGGUGUAAAGGGAGCGCAGGCGGGAAGACAAGUUGGAAGUGAAAACCAUGGGCUCAACCCAUGAAUUGCUUUCAAAACUGUUUUUCUUGAGUAGUGCAGAGGUAGAUGGAAUUCCCGGUGUAGCGGUGGAAUGCGUAGAUAUCGGGAGGAACACCAGUGGCGAAGGCGGUCUACUGGGCACCAACUGACGCUG